UACGUAGGGUGCGAGCGUUGUCCGGAAUUACUGGGCGUAAAGCGUGCGUAGACGGUUAUCUAAGUCGGAUGUGAAAGCCCCGGGCUCAACCUGGGAAUUGCAUUCGAGACUGAAUAGCUAGGGUACGGUAGAGGGAAGUGGAAUUUCCGGUGUAGCGGUGAAAUGCGUAGAUAUCGGAAGGAACAUCAGUGGCGAAAGCGACUUCCUGGACCAGUACCGACGUUCAGGCACGAAAGCGUGGGGAGCAAACAGG
rnacentral:rRNA from 1 species